rnacentral:rRNA from 1 species
UCUGUAGGUGGCCCGCUAAGUCACACGUGAAAUCCCUCAGCUUAACUGGGGAACUGCGUGUGAGACUGGCAGGCUUGAGUGCAGGAGAGGAACGCGGAAUUCCAGGUGUAGCGGUGAAAUGCGUAGAUAUCUGGAGGAACACCGGUGGCGAAGGCGGCGUUCUGGACUGUAUCUGACACUGAUAGACGAAAGCCAGGGGAGCAAAACG